GACGAACGCUGGCGGCGUGCUUAACACAUGCAAGUCGAACGGAAAGGCCCUGCUUUUGUGGGGUGCUCGAGUGGCGAACGGGUGAGUAACACGUGAGUAACCUGCCCUUGACUUUGGGAUAACUUCAGGAAACUGGGGCUAAUACCGGAUAGGAGCUCCUGCUGCAUGGUGGGGGUUGGAAAGUUUCGGCGGUUGGGGAUGGACUCGCGGCUUAUCAGCUUGUUGGUGGGGUAGUGGCUUACCAAGGCUUUGACGGGUAGCCGGCCUGAGAGGGUGACCGGCCACAUUGGGACUGAGAUACGGCCCAGACUCCUACGGGAGGCAGCAGUGGGGAAUAUUGCACGAUGGGCGGAAGCCUUAUGCAGCAACGCCGCGUGCGGGAUGACGGCCUUCGGGUUGUAAACCGCUUUCGCCUGUGACGAAGCGUGAGUGACGGUAAUGGGUAAAGAAGCACCGGCUAACUACGUG
rnacentral:rRNA from 1 species